rnacentral:misc_RNA from 1 species
GAUGAAGAACGCAGCGAAAUGCGAUACGUAAUGUGAAUUGCAGAAUUCAGUGAAUCAUCGAAUCUUUGAACGCAUAUUGCGCUCUCUGGUAUUCCGGAGAGCAUGCUUGUUUGAGUAUCAGUAAACACCUCAACUUCCAUAUCUUUUUUGAAAUGGGAGUUGGACUUGAGUGAUCCCAACGCUUUUCCUCACCGAAAAGUGGCGGGUUACUUGAAAUGCAGGUGCAGCUGGACUUUUCUCUGAGCUAUAAGCAUAUCUAUUUAGUCUGCCUAAAAAACAGAUUAUUACCUUUGCUGCAGCUAACAUAAAGGAGAUUAGUUCUUGUGCUGACUGAUGCAGGAUUCACAAAGACAGGCUUCGGCCGACUUUGUAAACUCGAUCUCAAAGCAAGUAAGACUACCCGCUGAACUUAAGCAUAUCAAUAAGCGGAGGA